rnacentral:tRNA from 1 species
GCCGUCGUAGCUCAGCCUGGGAGAGCACUCGACCAGUAUUGGGGUGAAGCUGAAGACCGAGCUGUCGUGAGCUCAAAUCUCACCGACGGCA